UACGUAGGGGGCAAGCGUUGUCCGGAAUUAUUGGGCGUAAAGAGCGUGUAGGCGGUCCGGUAAGUCCGCUGUGAAAGUCCAGGGCUCAACCCUGGAAUGCCGGUGGAUACUGCCGGGCUAGAGUCCGGAAGAGGCGAGUGGAAUUCCUGGUGUAGGCGGUGAAAUGCGACAGAGUAUCAGGAGGAACGAGACCGCAUGGC
rnacentral:rRNA from 1 species